AAGAUGACAGGGGGCUGCAUUCACGGUAAUGGAGCGUAAAUGGAUAGAGUUUAGAAUUACUCAGAUGUAUAACUCGAAGGCUUUUGUCACAAACGGGACAUAAUGUUCCAUUCAAAGAUGGGGAUAUAGUAAACCAGGUGAACACAGCCUUCAGAAAACCUGCUUUGACUGACAGCAGCUGGGGUAUAUAUCAUGCAGAGAGGAAAAGACAGAGGAGAAGAGAAAGAGUGUGUGGUUCCACCGUCCUCUCACUACCUCACCACACCGCCUGGGACGUGUCAAAAGAUCAGACUAAGUCCUCUUCCUUCCGCGGGAGACGGGAACCAACGGCUGCUUUACAAUAACACUCAUUUCCAAUUGAGUGUGUCAAAAGGGAAACUCCCCACAAUUUGGAGGGUAUACACGGUCUGAAUAGCCUCUGAUGGCACAGGGAGGAGCUCGCUGGGACAAGUUACUCGCCCGUAAUAGAAAACUUUUUCUUUCCUACACCAUGAAGCAAAGCUGAUUCCGGCGGAUCAUUGACACCCAGAGCAAAUAGCUUUUAAUCUGAGGCAGGGAAAAGGAGAGAGGAACGAGGAGGGAGAGGGAGGGGAGAGACAGAGAGAGAGCGAGAGAGAGGAAGGAAGCUGGGUGGAAGUUUAUCGCUUAUCUCAGGGGCUCCAUAAUGACAUGGCCGGCUUUCUAAGUGGAAUACGAAGUAUGUACAUAACAUAUCAAGG